GUGCCCAUGGCGUAAAAUUUUGACCUUAAGAUGUUUUGGGGCCUUAAAAUGAGUUACUCUGACCUCCUGAAGCCAUCCCAGUGGUUUGCAAUGUGUUACUGUGUACACCGAGCUGUGCUGGAGGUUCCUCCCAGUUUGUAAACAAACUCUGACACAGCAUCCAAUUGACGCAAAGCUCGUGUGUGCCCGAGAUGACGUCCUGCCCUCGUUCGCUCUCAACUCGUCCACGCCCUCUCUCCACCCACUAGCACGCCCAUUCAUUUGAAAACUCUAUAAAUACCAGCAGAACACCACAUACGUGCCUGUUCAAUGUCUGAGGGAACAUUUUCCGGAUUAAUGCUUUCACAAUCUGGGACAAUACAGAGCAAGUUAUGGCCAACACCUGACGCUGAAGUCUGGAUCAAUACCACCAAGCCUCCUGAACAAAAGUUCCCGAAGAAAGCAACAUGAUGAAGCAAAACUGCUCCCUCACCACUACGUUGGAGUCUUCCCAUUCAGUCAUCACCCAAUUUGCUCCAAAGAAUCAAACACAAGCAGACACUUCUUACAGAUGGCUGUCCCCUAGAAUGAAAAUGCACACCAACCACCGGCAAACAUCAAAAGCUAAUCCAACCUUUGGUCUUCGGAAACCCCGUGACUAAUGCAAUGUUGGUGCCCUAGAAGACAAGUCAGCGCAGUUCAGACGAGCCAGCCAGAGGAGGUCACCGCCAGCCUUGUAUCGAGGUCCCAACGUCCUUCAUCGGGGAACUCGGCAUGGAUAUGCAAGACAACACUCGAAUCACUGUUGGACAAAUGCCUGAAACGGCUGGAAAAAUAGAAAAGAUGGUUACAGAGACUGUUAUUGCUGUUCUUCUUUCAAUACAAUAUUUGCCUUCCAUAAAAUAUCCCCAUGUUCCAAUUUAAUAUUCUUGAUGCUGUUGUAAAUAAAUGUGUACACUGUC